CGUAGGAGGCAAGCGUUAUCCGGAUUCACUGGGCGUAAAGCGCGUGCAGGUGGCGCGGUAAGUUAGGCGUGAAAUCUCCCGGCUCAACUGGGAGAGGUCGUCUAAUACUACCGUGCUUGAGAGCAGAAGAGGAAGAUGGAAUUCCCGGUGUAGUGGUGAAAUGCGUAGAUAUCGGGAGGAACACCAGUGGCGAAGGCGAUCUUCUGGUCUGUUUCUGACACUCAGACGCGACAGCUAGGGUAGUAAACGGGAUUAGAGACCCCGGUAAUCCUAGCCGUAAACGAUGUGAACUUGGCGUUGGUGGGUUAAACUCCAUCAGUGCCGUAGCAGACGCGAUAAGUUCACCGCCUGGGGACUACGGCCGCAAGGUUA
rnacentral:rRNA from 1 species